rnacentral:rRNA from 1 species
GACAGGUGGUGCAUGGUUGUCGUCAGCUCGUGUCGUGAGAUGUUGGGUUAAGUCCCGCAACGAGCGCAACCCUUAUUGUUAGUUGCCAUCAUUCAGUUGGGCACUCUAGCGAGACUGCCGGUGACAAACCGGAGGAAGGUGGGGAUGACGUCAAAUCAUCAUGCCCCUUAUGACCUGGGCUACACACGUGCUACAAUGGACGGUACAAUGAGUCGCAAGACCGCGAGGUUUAGCUAAUCUCUUAAAGCCGUUCUCAGUUCGGAUUGUAGGCUGCAACUCGCCUACAUGAAGCCGGAAUCGCUAGUAAUCGUGGAUCAGCACGCCACGGUGAAUACGUUCCCGGGCCUUGUACACACCGCCCGUCACACCACGAGAGUUUGUAACACCCAAAGUCGGUGAGGUAACCUUUUGGAGCCAGCCGCCUAAGGUGGGAUAGAUGAUUGGGGUGAAGUCGUAACAAGGUAGCCGUAUCGGAAGGUGCGGCUGGAUCACCUCCUUUCUAAGGAA